CAGCUAUGCUCUGAGAAGUGAGUGGGCAGCAUCUAAUUGCUCUUCAUAAAAAUCCUGCUGUUUUCAGCCCCAGCCCACCCUGGUCUUCCCACAGACAAUGGCCACUCCCAUGCCUGAGCCAUCCCAGGUGUCCAUGAGCUUCCGUAGGGGUCAGCUAUGGACCGGCAACCUGAGGACAGCUGUAAGGACUCCGGGCUGAGCACCUCUCUGAGACUCCCAAGGUGUUUAAUUAUUUUUAACAAACAGAAAUGGAAGCAGACACUUUUCUGCCUCUAAUGAUAUGACCACUCUGGCCCAGCAUGACAAACUUCAUUUCCUCCCAAAUCCCUUUUUGCUGAUCUCUCAGAUCCCCAGUUGGAGGAACCAUCCUUUACAGCUGACUGACUCACCAGUCCCUAAUGCUGGUCAGAUGUCCUGAACAAGGAAAGCCGUGAUUUCUGCGACCAGAGAGAAUCGGUCAGUCACGGUGUCCCUCAGCCAAAAUGAACUCAGCCUAUUGUCUCCGGAGAGCUGGUAAAUCGGCAGCUGAAGAAACAUACAGUUCUGUGUUUCAAAAUGCAAAAGACCACAUUUCCCUGACCUCGGGUGCUCGCUGACACAUUCCCAACCAAUGACUAUAAAUCUGCUCCUGGAUUGUGGUAAGUUGAGAAAUUAAACACAAAUAUCCCAUCUGAUAACCUUCCUCUGGCCUUUCACAGUGUUGUUUAUAGAACUGAAUUUUAGAAAAUGAAUUCCUUUAUCCUCAAGGUUUUAGGGCUUUUUUCUUCUAAGCCCAGAAACUGUAAACGUUUUCAUGAUACAAGAAAGCUGGCGCUUCUCCUUCUACUUAAAUUACAGACACUCGUCUGAGUUGCCUGCUGCUGUGGAUUUUUGUUGGGUUUCAGUUGCUUUCUAGCCAUUCUUCCAUCCUUAGAGCAUCUGAAUUUCCUUUUAUGAAUUUCCCUCAUCCCCUUUGAGGGAAUCCGAUGAAAUCUCAAAUCCAAGCACCUGCCUCCCAGCAAGAAUGCGGAGCUGCUAGCUUUCUGGAACUACAUGAUUUCCACCCCUUUUUUUCUUUUUUUUUUUUGAGACGGAGUCUCACUCUGUCACCCAGGCUGGAGUGCAGUGGCCUGAUCUCCGCUCCCUGCAAGCUCCGCCUCCCGGGUUCACGCCGUUCUCCUGCCUCAACCUCCCGAGUAGCUGGUACUACAGGUGCCCGCCACCAUGCCCAGCUAAUUUUUUUUUUACUUUUUUAGUAGAGACGGAGUUUCACCAUGUUAGCCAGGAUGGUCUCAAUCUCCUGACCUCGUGAUCUGCCCACCUCGGCCUCCCAAAGUGUUGGGAUUACAGGUGUGGGUCACCGCGCCUGGCCAAUUUCCGCCCCUUUUCAAACUCAGUGCCUCAACCUCACAUCUGUUGGAUGAGUCCAAGAGACCCUUCUAGUACAUUCCCUUUUGCUUCCAUUACACUCUAACUGGUGAGCCUAGUGCAUAGGAGAGGCGCCUGUCCCUGUCAGCCUUGAUCUGGCUUCCUGAGAGCUCUGUCUUAUCUCUAACACAUAUUCUUCUGUCAAAACACAAGUGGAACGGCAGAUUGGGGUUUUGAAAUCACACUUGGUGGAGCUCUGGCCUGUAGAUGUGUUCUCACCAAUCCAUGAGGUCUUUUCAAAAAUAUCAUCAUUGUUUUAUUAUUUAUUUAUUUAUUUUUGAGACAGGGUCUCACUCUGUCACCCAGUCUAGAGUGUAGUGGGGGUGAUCCUAGGUCACUGCAGCCUCGACCUCCUGGACCUCAAGUGAUCCUCCCACUUCAGCCUCCUGAGUAGCUGGGACUACAGGUGCACACCACCAUACCUGGCUAAUUUUUGUAUUUUUUGUAGAGACAGGGUUUCACAUGUUGCCCAGGCUGGUCUCGAACUCCUGGGCUCAAGCAGUGCUCUCGCCUCAGCCUCCCAAAGUGCUGGGAUUACAGGCGUGAGCCACCUGGCCUUCAGUGAAAAUCUUAAAGGAUUAAUGUAAAAAUCACAUGGUGGGAUCAUGAUCCUCCCAUCAAGCUCUGUAUCAAACAUUCAUCCUAAAGCUCAUCAGUUCAGAGCUGGAGAGUAAACAACUUCAGAGAAAGAGGCUUUCCAAAACAGUGGGAAUUUCGGCAGAGAUGGAGCUUGGGGAAACUGAGGCACUCAGUCUGACUUCUCUUCCCUGAUGAGGAUGUGGGCUUGCUGAAGCUGAGUUUGGUUCAAGAAAGAGGAGAGUUCAAUGUUGAUAAAAAUUAUCUUGAACAAAAGUCACAGAUUGCUAGAGCAAGUUCUUCUUGAACUGUGACAAUAAGACCAGGCUAAACAAGCUAAAGGACAUAGCAAAACGCAUGGACAAUGUUAAUCGGCCGCAUUAGGGAAUCCAUGGAGAGGCCACCGUGGGUCUCUAGAAGCUACACUGAAAUGUGUUUCAUCUGCUUCCACCCUGGUGAGAGGGGUCCCACUUCCAUAAGUUUCCAUGUCCUUUGUUAAACAGAGAACCUAGAGUUGUCGUACAGGGUGGGGAGAGAUGUGGUUCCUUCCCACUGGACAUUCAUCCAACUGAAACACUACAGUUGGUAUCUAAAGUGAGACAGGCACUACCAGGCGUGGAAGAUUCAUCAAGCCGAAAGAAGAAACACUGAGCUAGCUAUUUCCAAGGUGGAUACAGAGCCAAUUGUAACAAUGGAAUUUAUGCAGUUUCCCUACCUGGGACAAUUCACACACAGUGGUUAAGGAAGCUCAGUAAAGUCCAGGUAGCCCACUGACUGUUCCCUGGCUUCUCCCAGCCACCUAUGACCUGGACAAGACUUGGAACCCAAAGGGAGUUAAAAAACUAAGAACCUCAGGCUGGGCGCAGUGGUCCCAGCACUUUGGGAAGCCAAGGAGGGCUGAUCACUUGAGCUGAAGAGCUGGAGAGCAGCCUGGCCAACAUGGUGAAACCCCGUCUCUAAAAAAAACUACAAAAAUGAACUGGGCAUGUUGGCGCAAUCCUGUAAUCUCAGCUACUCAGGUAGCUUAGGCGGGAGGACCACCUGACCCCAGGAGGCAGAGGUUGUAGUGAGCUAAGACCAUGCCACUGCACUUCAGCCUGGGCAAUAGAGCGAGACCCUGUCUCAAAACAAACAAAACAAAAAGCUAACAAAACAAAACAGCAAAAACAAAACCUUGAACCUUAUCAAGCCUCGAGAGCCAACCACCAUUAUACCAGGAGCAUAGAACUGGCCAGAUUCGGAUAUGGGGAAUUUCUGCAGGGCAAACGGCCCAGGUACAUCAAGAAACAAUGUCAUGGGAAAAGAUGGAGCAGGAAGUGUGGCAGAUUAAAAGAGACGGAACAGUCAGCGGCAACCUUGGUGUUUUGUUUGUUUCCGAAUCUGUACAAACCAACAGUAAAAAUCCAUGAUUGAGAAAGCAGGGAAAUGGGAAAGCAGACAGGGCCUGAAAGGGUGGUGGUGGCUUGGACCACGUCAUUGUGGUGAAGCUGGAGCUAGAUUCCUCCACAUCCCUUUCUCUGUGGAGUUCUGGGUGAAGAGGUGGCCCAAAGAGGCACUGUCGUGGGAUUCGGGAGGCUGCGUGAAGCAUCAGCCGUGACUCUCCAAAGUUCUUAGACUUGAUGCAUGACAGACACACACACAGGUAUCAACGAAGUCCAGCUUGUCCCCACUCUCCUGUCCCCAUCCACUUCUCCCCGACCACCAACUCUGCUGACCAGCAACGGCCCUGAGCCAGCCUCCAGAUGCUUGCCUGGGGUCCACUCUGGCUGGAGCAGUUCUUAUUAAAGGGUUUUUGUUCAUUGCAUUAGCUUCAUCGCAGUAUUGCAUUACACUGGGGGCAAGACAUUCUCUGUGGUAGGUACACACUGAAGCAUUUAUGGGUGAAAUUAUGUUAUUUCUAGGGUUUGCUUAAAAUACUUCAAAACGAAAGAGGCUGGAGCGUGGAGACUAAACAAAACAACAUUGAAAAAUGGUAACGAUUGUUAGAGUUGGAAGAUGGGCUCAUUGUUCUAUUUGCUCUGUUUCUGGUAUGUUCGAAAAUGUUCAUGAUUUCAAAUUACGGAGUCGGGGGAGCUAAGGAAAUGGAACAGAACCUGAAGAUCCCCCACCCCCUCCUCCACUCCAGACUAGCACUAGGCAAAGUUGCAGGCAAAAUUGCAUAACUGGAAAAUUCUUCAAUUCUUCUUGAGGAUGUGGGUUAAGGGAGGGAGGAAAAACUUAGAGCGGCAAGAGGCUGAUGAAUAGACACACACCACAGAAGAAAAAAGAAAACCAAUUAAAUCUUACUAUUACUUUUAACUGUGAGUAAUACGCUUGGACAUGUGUGAGCUGGUCUUGUUGUUCUUACAAACAAGGCUAAAAAAAACCUAUGACCUUGGAAUUCUCAGAUUCGUGCAGGCUGUUGAGUUAUUUUAAGUGGUGUUCAGAGGACAGGGUUUCUGACCUAAGAAUGUACUUUUCCAAAGGUACCUUCUAACUUGGAAUUUUAAAUAUUAAUUGAGAUAUAAAACUUCUUUUUAGGAAAAAUGUAAAAAUCUCCAUGAGCUCAGCCAUUGUUUUGGUUAGGAGAGAAGAUGACCGUGUAGGAUGGGGGCCAACCCAAACAGAAGGGUGGAGAAUGGCAACAGGCCCACAGUUCUGUUCACAAAUGUUCUUCUCCAGGGCUGAGCUUCUUGGAAAGGGGUUUAUUUUAUUUCACUCUAUCCCUGCUCCACAGUUGGGUCAUUUUAGGAUCUCAGCUGGUGGCCACAGCUUUUAAGGCUUCUGAGUCAUACUCCUUUUUUUUUUUAAGAGGUUAUUUAAAAGUUUUUCAAAGUAGGGAGAUAUUAUAUGGAAAAUAUUAAGCAGAAGAAAAUAUUUUGUAUUGGAAAAAAUAAAUGAUCGGUGUUCAUAAAAGUGUGUAGUCAGUAAAUCAGAAAAACUGUGAACCCGUUAGAGAAACAAACUUUGAGGGAAAAUACUGCAUAUGGUUUUAAAAGAUGCAAAAGCUGAUCCUGGCACCCAGUCUCAGGAGGAGAACAGAGGGAGGAAGUCAGAAAUGCAGAUGAUCUGUGGGGAGGUGCGGGUGCCCAGGGCAAGAGAGAGGGAGGAGGAUGGAGACUCCAGGGCGUGGAAGAGGAGAUAUGCAAAAUGCCGAACCCUAGAGGGGUGCCAGCUCAGUCACCCUCAAGGCAGACUGGCCCAGGUUCCCACACCUCCUUGUCCCACAGUCAAGUCCAAUAAAAUGGCAGGGGUGGCGGGGGGAGGGGGGAGUAGAGACACAGAGCCCUCUGUGAUGUUCACUUGCUGAUGGUUUUCCCUGAGAAGGGACUCAGAAUACGCCAUCCCCAGGCCGGGUGCAGUGGCUCUCAGCACUUUGAGAAGCUGAGGUGGGCAGAUCACUUGAGUCCAGGAGUUCGAGACCAGCCUGGGCAACACAGUGAGAUCCCAUCUCUAUAUAAUAAAUAUUAAAAAUAAAAAAAAUUUUUAAUUUAAAAAAUUAAAAUGAAUUUAAAAGAAAAUUUUAAAAGAUAGGAUGCUCAUUGCAACCUCCACCUUUUAAGCUCAAGCUAUCCUCCCACCUUAGCCUUCCAAGGAGCUGGGACUGCAGGCGCGUGCCACCACACUUUGGCGUUAAGGAUUAUUCUGAGCUGGAGGCACUUGAGAAUCGACAAGCAAGUACAGUUCUCUGCCCUCCCCUUCACUGCCUGAAAGCCAGGCAUCAAUUUCCCCCGUAAAGGUGUCCCUGCACCCCCAUCAGAGGACGAGAAGAGCACUCAUCCCCAGAGGCGGUUGGCUCCAAGAUGAGUCUACAUGAAGAGACCCUUACUGAAAUAACGCCUGACUCCCCAUUCGUCCCCAUACGCUUCUUAGUCACUUUCCUACGAUCCGUUGUCUCUCCAAGCUCAAACCUGCCUUUCUUUGUUAAAAUGGUAUAAAUUCCUGAGCCUAACC
rnacentral:lncRNA from 10 species